rnacentral:rRNA from 1 species
CCAAGGAGUUUAGCGUGUGCGCGAGUCAUUGAGUGGAAAAACUCAAAGGCGUAAUGAAAGUGAAGGGAACUUUACGUUUCUGAGGGAAGAUGAGAUGGUUUCUUCACAGAGCCUCUCCGCACUCCCGGGGCGUCUCUAUCUCAUUGCGAGAGGAGGCGCACCUAUAGCGUACACGCUGAUACCCGAAAGAUGGUGAACUAUGCCUGGCCAGGACGAAGCCAGGGGAAACCCUGGUGGAGGUCCGCAGCGAUUCUGACGUGCAAAUCGAUCGUCGGAGCUGGGUUUAGGGGCGAAAGACCAAUCGAACCAUCUAGUAGCUGGUUCCCUCUGAAGUUUCCCUCAGGAUAGCUUGCGCUCGGACGGAACGAGUCUCAUCCGGUAGAGCGAAUGAUUAGAGGCCUUGGGGUCGAAACGACCUCAACCUAUUCUCAAACUCCAAAUAGAUGAGAACCCUGGCUUUCUUAAACUAUGAAGCCAAGGGGUUUCGGAUCAGAGUGCCAAGUGGGCCAAUUUU